AACUAAGUUAGUUAUUGGUAUGAGCUUUCGUGUGCAUGCACACUUCUUCAGAUACACUGAAACAGAAGUCACCAGACCCUUAUAUAUAGUGAUUUCUGUCUAGUGACAUCUAUUUCAGUGUAUCUGAAGAAGUGUGCAUGCACACGAAAGCUCAUACUAAUAACUAACUUAGUUGG